AAGGAAACAUGCAUAAUUGACAGGCCUAUUUCAGGAAUUAGCCACCCAUCUGACCACACAUCUACCUGCUCUGCUCUUUCAUCCUCUGUGGGAUUAUUCAGCGUCUCAGAAAAGUCUGUCUCACCUGUAAAGGAUCAUUUCAUGGUAAACAGAUUUAAUGAACAUGCUUGUUGUCAUUGUUUAUUUGUAUGUUUUCCAAACGGUGGCCGUGUUUUCACCUUGCUGACUAAUCAUGACAUGUUAGGAUUGCUGGGAAUGUGCAAAUGCUGGGUACAAUUGUCAUCACACAUAGGAACUGUUUGAAGUCAGAUCAGCAGGCAGGAUGUUCUGGUGAUGAGUGAUUUUUCUCCCCCUUAUUAUGCCCUCUGUUACCACGCAGAUGAGUUAAUUAAGCUGAGCCAGAGGCUAUGCACUCGCAUUCCAGGUAGAUGUGCCGCUGCGAUAUUCAGACGUUAUUAAAAAAUUAAACUGUAAUAUUGAGUUUUGAAUAUCCUAAAUGCAUAAGGCUCUUGAAUGGUUGCAAAUUAUCAUUGGAAAUUUUUAAAACGUGGUACUUCCUGGAGACCAUUACACCAAAACACCUCAAGGUAGCAUUGAAAUAGCUUAGAGUUGCCCAAAGGACCACAGAUUCUUCAGUGACCAUAGCAGAUCCCACUCUUGUCUCAUUUCUAUUGCAACAUAUAUUUUUCCUCUGACAAUACUAAGCAUUUCAUGUGCAUUUUUGACCUCAGCACUAAAAGCCUAUUUGCAUGUGGGGCUAUUCAGACCAAUCAGACUCCAGCACAAGUGGGAGAUGACGACAUCAUUUACCUGCUCCACUGGGCUGGGAGAUAAGCUCGUGCCCCUGCUGCUCCCCGUGAUGUUCUGUCUGCUGUUUGGACGACUCAGGAAAGAGAGCUGUGUGUUACAGAUGAUGACGAGUGGCAUUAAAGCAGCGCGAGGAGCCAUCCCAUCACCUGUACAGUCAGCAGAGGGGAGAGAGAUGUGCGUGUUGGCCUUUAGAGGAGCUUUGGUAAGGCAAAGUUGGUGGUAUUGCUACCUCGUUUCCCCACCCAAGAUGAAUGUAAAACUAUCCCAAUCAUGUAAAUACAAAUGAUUUUAAUGUAAAGCGAAGAUGAUUUUUAUGACACUAUGAUGAAGAUACUUUAUGCGUUGAGCACAUAGAUUGUAUAUACAAGUACACCCUGGUGAGUAUCCAGUAUAGGUCUUAAAUCCCGCCUUCCCCAUUCGUCCUUAUAGGGUUGUGGACACACUUCAGAAAUUUAUUACACAAAAUAUAACAUUUUUUAUUUUUUACUUGAGUAAAUAGUUGCUCAUAUGUCAGUAUCUGAAUCAAACAAUUCCUACAAAGUGUUUUCUAAAGCACCCUUUAACAGUUUUUAUAUGUAAUUUGUUCUAUAAAAAAAGGUUUAUCCUAAUCUAUCCCACACUCUGGGAAUGUGCUUUUAAUUUUGCCCCCUGUGAUGGCCUAAACUGCCACUACCUCGUGUUAGUAUUUCUUUUUCUUUGGGUUUUAACACCAGCUUUGUUUGUAGUUCAAAAAGAGCACAUUACACACCUUUCUGUUGAAAUAAAAUCACUUUAAUUACAUGUAUGGCAGUUGUUUUCUAAUUUUGGUGCACACAAUUUAGUUAAAGAACUGUCACAUGGUUGAUUUUCCACAUCAUGCUUUAAUCUCAAGUUAUACUUACUCCUGUUUUCUUUUGUUUGAGUUUCCUGGCAAAGGGCUGUCUGCUGAUCAAAGAUGGCCUUUUAAGCCCUGCCCACAGGAAGUGGGAGAGACCAUGGAGGGGGAACACAGGGGCAGCAUGGACUUUUAUUUAAUCUCCAAUCUUCUGUUUGUGUUCUUUUCAGUUUGUAAAGGCAAUUUAGUUUAUUCUGUAAAUAGUUUGUUUUGAUGAUUUGAUGCUAUUUUUCUGAGUUUGUUAAAUGUUUAGUUUGGAGUCACAUUUAGUUUCCCCCUUGUGUAUCUGUUGGACUAGUCCUUUGUCUAUUUAAACCCCCAGCAUGUCUCACUUUAAUUACGUCUGUUUGAUUAUGUUAGGUGGUAGCGUUAGUUGAUUUUGCUGAGUUGACCUCUUUUAGAAUGGGCCCAGGUUUUGUUUCUUUUUUUUGUUCUACCAAAUUAAGUUGAACAUUUGUUAUGAUUUGAUCUAUUUUUCCAAGUAAAUAAAGGAACAAGAUCUUUUUCCACACCUUUGUCCUUUGCCUGAUUGCUUGGUCCCUUACACCCCCCUAUACCAUGACAUUAAAGGUUCAGUUUGUAGAAAAAAAGAGUAUUAAUCAGUAUUCAGUAUUUAGUUGUCAUAUAAACUGAAAUGUUGCCUUGCAUCUCUCCUAUCAGUGAAGCAAUGUUGGUCUUCAAGAACGAGAAUCUCCUGAAAUGCAUCUUGGGUAAGAUACUCAGACCAUGAAGAUUUUAGCAUCGGAACGCCAAUCAGUAAAAAUUCUUUGUACAUUGAAACUGCUUUGAAAAAAUACAAGAAUGUUUGUGUCACUAGUUUUUGUGUUACAGCACAUGGUGUUACAUGAUGACAGCCACCAUGGACGGGGACCUGCUGCUGGUUUUAAAAUGCUUAUUCUAAGUUAAGAAAAACAAAGUUAUUUCUAUACAGGGGUGAUAGCACACUGCCUUGAACAUGCUUACAGAUGUUGUAUUCCAUGUCUACCAAGCCUGAUGUCAAAUGCUUCUGACACACACUGCACCUGUGUGUUUGGUAACUGGAAGAGUUAAGUCUUACAGUUAGCAACCAACCAUUAAUGCUGUAGAGGCUGGUCAUUAUCCCCCCCAGCAUUCUUUUUUUCACAGGGAAAAAGGUUAAAUACAGGAACAAAUGGCACUCUGGUAGCAAUACCCUGAGAACUAUUACCCUUUUUGUUUUUAAUACGUAAAUCUAGCAUCCAAACUUAAAAUUUUCUCUUUACUACGUGUGAAAAAGUGCUUAUUAAUGCUUGGUGUAUUUAUUGUUGAUGAAUAAUAAAUUAUUGGCCA